rnacentral:rRNA from 1 species
CCUACGGGAGCAGCAGUCGAGAAUCAUUCACAAUGGGGGAAACCCUGAUGGUGCGACGCCGCGUGGGGGAAUGAAGGUCUUCGGAUUGUACACCCCUGUCAUGUGGGAGCAAAUUAAAAAGUUAGUAACACAGGAGGAAGAGACGGCUAACUCUGUGCCAGCACCCGCGGUAAUACAGAGGUCUCACGCGUUGUUCGGAAUCAGUGGGCGUACAGCGUGCGUAGGCUGUUGCGUAAGUCGUGUGUGAAAGGCGCGGGCUCAACCGGCGGAAGGCAUAUGAUACUGCGAGACUAGAGUAAUGGAGGGGGAACCGGAAUUCUCGGUGUAGCAGUGAAAUGCGUAGAUAUCGAGAGGAACACUCGUGGCGAAGGCGGGUUCCUGGACAUUAACUGACGCUGAGGCACGAAGGCCAGGGGAGCGAAAGGGAUUAGAUACCCGGGUAGUC